UGCCAACAAGAAUUUAGUUAUUGCAUAUGCGCACUUCACAUAGUAGGCGUUCCCUAACGGAAAUGUACAAAUCUUUUCUAGAACGCGCCAAUAGGAUCUCUCUAGUUUGUGCUUGAUUCUUCCCAUCCCCUGCUUGUUCUGCCCGCUAUGACUAAUUUGUUCCCGUUGGAAUCGGCAGGCUGUGGUCUAUCUUGGAUUGUUCACAGCUUUAUGGAAGUUACCUCUGGCUCUGAUGUGUAGACCAAGGUAAGAAGAAGAGGAAAACUAGAGGCGAUCACUUCAAACAGAGAUAACGCAAAAACUUCCAGACUCUACUAGAAGAGGAGGUAGAUAAUAGAACUAGGACACCUCAAAGUAUCCUUGCGUGGCAAGCGCAUUUUCAUCCACGUUCCCUCUCCUCGACGCAUCUCCUCGGUUACCUUGGACCUUUUUCAAAAGGAGGCGAGACGACGCAGGAGUUGUGCAAAACCAAAUUAGAUUCUCCCCGUCUUUGCUGAGUCUAASCCUAUAACCUGUCCUUGCUGUGUUGUGAUUGGCAGAACGUGUCUGAAAGUGAGGAGCCUAACUACCUGUCUGCCACGGUAACCUGUCUGCAGCUGCUAAUCUGACCAUAUCUGGUCAUGCUCACAGAAUUUUGAUGGUAAACACCUCCACCUGUAGAUAUAUAGAAUGUUACAACAAUACAGGAUCGGCACUACGGAGAACUACUAGUGUACCCGAACGUUGCUACAAUGUCUCCUCAAAGAUGCUAUGGAUAGAAGGCUACCAGAGAACGAUAGGGAACGCUACUAGAACGUUACAGCAUGCACACAGUGGCACAGCACUCUGCAGUGUGAUGUUAGUGUUGUGGAGUAGGAUCUGAAGGGGGGGCAGGAAGGAGAGGGGUGGGUUUGUGUCAUAUGGGGAGUAGUAAGGAGGGCACUUGGUCCCAUGCAUAUGUCUAUCUUUGUCUGUCUGUCCUGCUGUGAAGAUUAAUUAAACAUGUUUUGAUAUGACUCUGUGUCUGCUGUCCUUUAUGUUUUAGCUUAGUCUCCUGUAUUUUGUYGUUUGUGUCUGAGCGGCUGUGUGUCUUCACUGAGCCUGUGCGUGUGACUGGUGGGUGUACCCUGGUCCAGGUUUGYAUACAGAUGUUUGUUUAUGAACUCUGACCUGAUAGAAGGAAUGUUCCUAGAGGGAACAAAAGGUUGUACGCUUAUUAACUUCCAGGGGUAUGAAUAAAAAACUUUAUUUUCUGAAACCAUUGCGCACACACAACGGACUAAAGUCWAGCAGUGGUUGAGUAUAUGAAUAUAUGUUAAUGUAUU